AAGGCCCCAGAGACCAGGGGCGCCGGUGCAGGGCCUGUCUGCUCCUGCCUGGCAGAGGCGGGGAACACGAUGGCAGCGGCGGCGGGAGGAGCAAAGGCUUUGGAGAGAGAAUAAAGAACCGCGGAGGCGCCUGCCCACCUCCAGCAGCAGUGGCAGCGGCGGCGGCGGCGGCGGCAGGCAGUGAAGCUCUUCUCGUCUUCGCUGGGCUGGGGCAGUAUACCCAAACUCGGCUUUGCCAGGCCCUGCAUAUCUCCAGAAGGAAAUGGAAGAACACGGAUCAGCGCUUGGUGACUCAGGAGACCUUGGCAUCCCUGCUUUAUACUCCCCGUAAGCUCCUCACAGAUCCCUUCACCCCGGAUCCUCCAUCACAAAUCUUAUCAACUCUCCCAGCGUCUCCGGGUGGGGAUGGAAGAGUAGGAUGGGUGUAGAAAAAGUCGAAAGUAACUCCCACCAGCUCAGUCUUCAUUACUGCCUAAAGGGAGGCCACUUCCACAGAGCCAACAGUACCCUGCCUGUCACUCACCCGUAAGUAAGCCCUCCUCUUCCUUUAGUUCCAGCAAGCAAAGCCCACCCAAGGCUGCCUUGAGCCCAGAAAUGAGACAAGUCCAUUCCUGUAGCCAACUUCCUACUAGAGCUCCCUGGCAUGGAAGAGAGCCUUUCCCUACCUGGGCAGGCCCUUCUCUGGGCAAGAAGCAGUAGGAUAACAAGCAGCCUCCAGCUCUAGCAGCCUCCAGCCCGGACCUGCCUUGGGGCGGAGCCGGCAAAGGACUCUGGGUGGAGUAGCAGAGCAGUAGAGAACCUGGAGUCCAAAGGGAGAGCCACCUCCCCUUCAGCAGAAGGAAUGUGGGGGAGGUGAGAAGGAACUGUGGCCAUGGGAGUCUAAGUGUCGCCUGGAGGGCAGUCCUUCCAACAGUCUAGGGACUGUCACAACAUCCUAGGCAAUCCCAGUGCCAGAAGCCAGCCUUACGAGCUCAUGCCGCUCUGCCUUGGGACCUGGAGCUCUUCUACUCUGUCCUUCUAAAGGCCUGGGACAGCUGAUCUAGCAGAGAGUAAGGUCAGAACGUGUCUGGCUAGCUCAGGCCUGACAGUAUAGUCACCGAGACCCCAGCUUCAGAGUUGGGAAGGGCCAGGCUAGUCAGCUGCCAGGUUCAAUCAACCCUGGCCCCCUGCCCUGUCCUUGUGCCAGGUACUGGCUGGAAUAGACAACACUUCCUUUCUCUGCUCCUGGCUCUUAGUGGGGAAGUACAGGUCCCCAGCCAAGCUUGUGUCUCUCCUGGGGGCUUCAGAGAAGGGCCAGUUCAAUUUUCUCUAGCAAUGGGGUGAGGAUAAUAAUGGGCCUAUGCUCAGUAAAAGGAUUCUCCACUUCCCUGACAAAACUUUAUCAGAGUGAGUGGUCCCUUUCCAGAAGGAGCAGCAGCCACUCCUGCCCACAGGUGAUGCAAAGGGAAGGGCACAUACCUGCCCCAGCUAUGCCAGGAAUGUGGCUCCCCAGGCAGAGGACCGGAGGAGCCUUUCUGGGGUGGGGGAGGGGCUGGCUGGCAGGGGGGUGUUCCUGGAGUGAACAAGAGGUCAGGAGUAGCCCAGACUUCACCCAGUUCUCAGUGGGGGAGGGGUAGAGUAGGCGUCCUGGGGGAAGAACUGGAAGUCAGGUUGGUGGGUUGAGCUUGCUGAGGAUCUAGGAUGAGGUUGAUAAGCCUCAGAUCACCUACAGAUCAGGAAAUGGAGCCACCUUCAGAGGUGUAGGCAAGAGAUGUCUCAGUUCCAUCCUAGAUCCUAAGUUCUGACGCCUCCUUGGGUGUUCUGACAACUCACCCUGCGGCACUCUGGUCUGCUUUCAAAACAGAUUCUACGGAACAUUUCAGGCUUCUUAAUAGUGGGGCCCAGGCGUCGUGCCCUACGCCCCCCCUGUACCUCUCACACACCUUAAAGCACCUCUUCAGCCUCCCUGGCUCUAUCUACUACUUAAGAGUCUUCAGUCCCAUAUCUGUCAUCCUGCGCCUUCCCUUCCCACUCCUGGGCUCUGGUUAAAUGCUGGUCUCUGAGUCUUAGGAGCGAAGUAUUCCUAGGGUCAGCCACGCACAAGUGCACAGGAGGGAGGCCUCCUUUCCAUGGUUCUUCUUCCCAGCGGUCCUGCUCCAGAUGGGCUCUGCCAGCACCAAAGCCAGAGGGUAGCAUGGGCAUCGGUGGCUUUGAUGAGAGGCUAAACCUUGUUCUGUAUAGGCUGAACACCCUACCCUGACCUCUGAUCUCAGGGGAAGUCCUCAGUUACUGAGUCACAGACCCUCAAGCUACUAGAUACACCCGGCUAUUAAUGAUUCACCCUCUUAAUCUUGUAGGGACAAAGGACUAUGGUUCCUCCUCAGCCCCCUAAACACCCCAAGUUGACAUAUCUAUCUUUGGCCUCACAUACACAUCUCCCCCACUUUUCCUGCCCCCCAGUUUCCCAGAGCACGAGCUUCCAUAGUACUAGAAUCUCUGGUUCUUCUCUAGUUAGGGUCUCAGAGCCCAGAAGCGGCCAAACCUGGCUGAGAGGCCACAGGGCUCCAUUCCGGCCCUGCCCCUCCUAUACUGAUUUCCCUAAGACCAGCAUAGAGACAGGGUUCCAGAGAUACCGCUCAAGUGUCAAGCCAGCAUCAAAGUAGAAAGAGACAGGCCAUUUAAGUCUUCCGGCAAACACAUCACAUCAGAGGACCAGAGGUCGUGACCCUUGCCAUUGCUCUGAAAAGGAAGUUUCAGUCCCCAGCCCUACAACCCUUCCAGCCAGCCAUGAGGUAACAGAGUGCAGUAGUAGCAAGGAAAAAAAGCAUUCGUUACCACAUUUACCCCCAAAGGUGUCAGCCACCAACUGGGGGUGUACUGAAGAAGAGAGAGGGGAGACCUGGAUGGCAAGGUAAUUCUGUUCACCUUCAAGAGGAUGGCAGUAUAAUCCCACAAACUGUGUGCCUCUGGAACACACAGGAGAGUUCUCCACCUUCCAAUCCCCUGUGCCUAGCCAAUCCAACCAGAUGUUUAGAGGUCUGUAGGAAUAAGUGGUAUGCAUUUACCUGCUCCCAGUUUCCAUAGAAAAGGAUCUUUGAAGGGGGAGUGUAGAGUGCUGAGGGAAAAAGGAAGACAAAGCAGAGACACCUGUCUGUUUUCAGGACAGCAGCCUUUUUGUUUAUGGCUCCAAGACCAAACAAAGAGCUAACAUCAGAGCUUGGGGUUUUUCAAUCUGUGUGGCUAGAGAAGGAGCUAGGAGCAAUAACGCAUCACAGGUAGGCGGCGGGGUGAUGGUUUACUCUCCUGCCCACGGCAAGCUCUCCUCUGCACCCCACCCUGAUCCCAUAAAUUUCUGUCACUAUCAGCAAGCCACUGGCCCUUAAAGGAACACUCUCACCACGCACCUUCUACACAGAACUCCACCUCUUCCAGGUUCCGCAAAGUGAUCCGCAUAAGGCUGGAGUUGAGCAUCAACUCAUUCUUGUGGGCUGGCCACAGGUAGGGUGGUGCUGGGUUCACAAAGAAGAUUCUAGUGUCCCCGGUGGACACCUGGUUGUCGCAGAUGAGGGGGUCUCCAAAGCCACCAAUUACCACCUUGUUGCCACCAUCCAGCAGGCUCUCUUGGGCCACCACAUCUUUGCCUUUCAAGUACCGCCACACUCGAACCUGAGCGGACAUGGAAGUAAAAGUGUAUUGGUCCUAUGAGGACAGGGUUGCAGGCUGGACACCUGGACCCUUCCCCCUCUCUGGUCUCACUAGCUCAAGCCAAUGUGCACAGUGAACCCCAGCCUUGGGCAGAGAUGUUCCAAGGCUGCAGUGCAGUAGACACCUACUGGAUUCAGGAUGACAUAAGAAGGCUAACAAUCAUCUAACCAUCUAACAAUUGUCCCACCUCAGGUCUAUCCAGCCCAAGUCCAACUCUAAGGGUCCAGUCAGGACCAGACACUUUAGGUGAAAGGACUUAAGAGCAAGAUCCCAGCUGGGAUCUUCACAGCCUUGUGUGGGCCAACACCUCUCCCAGGAAGUAAAGACCCACUUCUUUGCUCCAUAGUCUGCCUGAGUCUGUGCAGCGAGGCAGCUCUGAGCCACAAAGUCAAGUUUGGGCAAUGCAAGUCAGCCCCACCCUCCACCUCCUUAUUUAGGGCCCCGAGGGCACCCUUUCUGACAGACAUGGCUGGAAGAUGUAGCCCGCAGCGCCCACAGGAUAAGUCCAGGGCCCCCAGACACUUUUUGGAAAGGAUUUCUAGGAAGGAGCCCCUUAUUGAGGCGCUCUGGGGAUUUGGGGUUCUGGAAUGGAGGGAGCAAAAAAGACAAUGGGCAGCUUUUCCACCUGCCUAGCUCCUGCGAGACACCUAAGACUUGCAGCACCUAAAGAACUUUAUCUACCUGCGCCCCCCACCCCCAACUAUUGUGGGAGAUAACCCAAAGGGGGAAAGCUCACAGUUCUCACACCUCCCCCACCCCAGCCACACCCAGGAGCAGCGGGGAGGAAGUCGGGAAAAUCCUGCAGGGACUUGGCAAAGUGCCUCGGCAGGGAGAGGAGGGGGCCCAGCGGGGGGAUCCCAUGAACACACGGUACUCUGAAGGAAGUCACCAUCCUUCUCAUUCCCAAAGAGUAAGAACAAAUCCUGUUUCCAGCGAAGCGAUUUGAGGGACGAGGAGAACCAGCAACGGAUAUUCCGAGGGUAUCGACCCCAUACCUAUUCCAAGGUGCUCUCAAAUUCAGCUGCAGUUGAAACAGAGCUAAUUCUACCGUA